rnacentral:rRNA from 1 species
UACAGGGGGGGCAAGCGUUGUUCGGAAUUACUGGGCGUAAAGGGCUUGUAGGUGGCCAAUUAAGUCAGACGUGAAAUCCCUCAGCUUAACUGGGGAACUGCGUCUGAUACUGGAUGGCUUGAAUUCGGGAGAGGGAUGCAGAAUUCCAGGUGUAGCGGUGAAAUGCGUAGAUAUCUGGAGGAAUACCGGUGGCGAAGGCGGCAUCCUGGACCGACAUUGACGCUGAGGUGCGAAAGCGUGGGGAGCAAACAGG